rnacentral:rRNA from 1 species
GGAGUUAGCCGGUGCUUCUUCUGUGAGUGAUGUCCUUCCUGCCGGCUAUUAACCCGCAGGCCUUCUUCCUCACUGAAAGUGCUUUACAACCCGAAGGCCUUCUUCACACACGCGGCCAUGGCUGGAUCAGGGUUGCCCCCAUUGUCCAAUAUUCCCCACUGCUGCCUCCCGUAGGAGUCUGGGCCGUGUCUCAGUCCCAGUGUGGCUGAUCAUCCUCUCAGACCAGCUACGGAUCGUCGCCUUGGUGAGCCGUUACCUCACCAACCAGCUAAUCCGACAUAGGCUCAUCCGAAUAGCGCGAGGCCCGAAGGUCCCCCGCUUUCCCCCGUAGGGCGUAUGCGGUAUUAGCCUGGGUUUCCCCCAGGUUAUCCCCCACUACCGGGCAGAUUCCUAUGCAUUACUCACCCGUCCGCCGCUCGCCACCAGGGAGCAAGCUCCCCGUGCUGCCGCUCGACUUGCAUGUGUUAGGCCUGCCGCCAGCGUUCAAUCUGAGCCAGGAUCAAACUCUGA